ACGCGUGGAACCUUACCAGGUCUUGACAUCCUCUGACACUCCUAGAGAUAGGACGUUCCCCUUCGGGGGACAGAGUGACAGGUGGUGCAUGGUUGUCGUCAGCUCGUGUCGUGAGAUGUUGGGUUAAGUCCCGCAACGAGCGCAACCCUUGAUCUUAGUUGCCAGCAUUAAGUUGGGCACUCUAAGGUGACUGCCGGUGACAAACCGGAGGAAGGUGGGGAUGACGUCAAAUCAUCAUGCCCCUUAUGACCUGGGCUACACACGUGCUACAAUGGAUGGUACAAAGGGCAGCAAAACCGCGAGGUCGAGCAAAUCCCAUAAAACCAUUCUCAGUUCGGAUUGUAGGCUGCAACUCGCCUACAUGAAGCUGGAAUCGCUAGUAAUCGCGGAUCAGCAUGCCGCGGUGAAUACGUUCCCGGGCCUUGCACACACUGCCCGU
rnacentral:rRNA from 1 species